rnacentral:rRNA from 1 species
GAUCAUGGCUCAAGAUGAACGCUGGCGGCGUGCCUAACACAUGCAAGUCGAACGAAGCAAUUAAGAUGAAGUUUUCGGAUGGAACCUUGAUUGACUGAGUGGCGGACGGGUGAGUAACGCGUGGAUAACCUGCCUCACACUGGGGGAUAACAGUUAGAAAUGACUGCUAAUACCGCAUAAGCGCACAGUGCCGCAUGGCAGUGUGUGAAAAACUCCGGU